CAGGGAUUGCCCUAGUAACGGCGAGUGAAGCGGCAACAGCUCAAAUUUGAAAUCUGGCUCCGGCCCGAGUUGUAAUUUGCAGAGGAUGUUUCUGGCGCGGUGCCUUCCGAGUUCCCUGGAACGGGACGCCACAGAGGGUGAGAGCCCCGUAUGGUUGGACACCAAGCCUGUGUGAAACUCCUUCGACGAGUCGAGUAGUUUGGGAAUGCUGCUCAAAAUGGGAGGUAAAUCUCUUCUAAAGCUAAAUACCGGCCAGAGACCGAUAGCGCACAAGUAGAGUGAUCGAAAGAUGAAAAGCACCUUGAAAAGGGGGUUAAACAGUACGUGAAAUUGUUGAAAGGGAAGCACUUGUGACCAGACUUGUGCCGGGCGGUUCAUCCGGGGUUCUCCCCGGUGCACUCCGCCCGGUAUAGGCCAGCAUCGGUUCUUUCUGGGGGAUAAGAACGGUGGGAACGUGGCCCUCCCUCGGGAGGGUGUUAUAGCCCGCCGUACGAUACCCUGGAGGGGACCGAGGUUCGCGCUCCGCAAGGAUGCUGGCGUAAUGGUCACCAGUGACCCGUCUU
rnacentral:rRNA from 1 species